CGUCGUUCGUCGCCACUCAGAACAGCCUCAUCGGACGCGCUGCUUUGUCUCCGCGCUCAAAAGUGCUUUCUUGCUUCGUUUAUCGAUUACCCACGUUAAUCGCGUGAUUCAAUAUCGAGUGUACCUCCAAAGACAAUCCACUUCCCAGUGUUGUGACAAGCGGCGACCGCGGUUGUACAGGAGCGGAAGCGUGAGCCUUUUGACGAGCGACUGUGAAGAAUGCAAAGCCAGUGCCAAACUUCGGAACCGAUAGCCCGGGCGGCGUGUUGGCACAGCGAGGAUGAGAACAAGAGACCCGAUAGACAGCGAUGACAGCUGUUCACGGCACCGACACAGAGGACAUAUUGCAGUGCAAGAUAGGAGCGGUCUUCCUGCAAGCCCAGACAAGCCAUAUUGAGUGGUUUCAAAUACAGCAACUGUACCACCACGACAGUGCAGCACAAGAGACCCUAUCGUCAGUGCUGAGCCAGAAAUUAAAUAGAAAAGCGCUUUCUCCUGAAAUCUUUCGUCUGGUUUUAUUUCGUUUGUUUGU
rnacentral:lncRNA from 1 species